rnacentral:rRNA from 1 species
UGGGGAAUAUUGCGCAAUGGGCGAAAGCCUGACGCAGCGACGCCGCGUGAGGGAUGAAGGUUUUCGGAUCGUAAACCUCUGUCAGAAGGGAAGAAACCGCACUGUGCUAAUCAGCAGUGCCUUGACGGUACCUUCAAAGGAAGCACCGGCUAACUCCGUGCCAGCAGCCGCGGUAAUACGGAGGGUGCAAGCGUUAAUCGGAAUUACUGGGCGUAAAGCGCACGUAGGCUGCUUUGUAAGUCAGGGGUGAAAUCCCACGGCUCAACCGUGGAACUGCCUUUGAUACUGCUUAGCUUGAAUCCGGGAGAGGGUGGCGGAAUUCCAGGUGUAGGAGUGAAAUCCGUAGAUAUCUGGAGGAACAUCAGUGGCGAAGGCGGCCACCUGGACCGGUAUUGACGCUGAGGUGCGAAAGCGGGGGGAGCAAACAGGA